GACGAACGCUGGCGGCGUGCCUAGUACAUGCAAGUAGAACGCUGAAGAGAGGAGCUUGCUCUUCUUGGAUGAGUUGCGAACGGGUGAGUAACGCGUAGGUAACCUGCCUUGUAGCGGGGGAUAACUAUUGGAAACGAUAGCUAAUACCGCAUAACAAUGGAUGACACAUGUCAUUUAUUUGAAAGGGGCAAUUGCUCCACUACAAGAUGGACCUGCGUUGUAUUAGCUAGUAGGUGAGGUAACGGCUCACCUAGGCGACGAUACAUAGCCGACCUGAGAGGGUGAUCGGCCACACUGGGACUGAGACACGGCCCAGACUCCUACGGGAGGCAGCAGUAGGGAAUCUUCGGCAAUGGGGGCAACCCUGACCGAGCAACGCCGCGUGAGUGAAGAAGGUUUUCGGAUCGUAAAGCUCUGUUGUAAGUCAAGAACGAGUGUGAGAGUGGAAAGUUCACACUGUGACGGUAGCUGACCAGAAAGGGACGGCUAACUACGUG
rnacentral:rRNA from 1 species